UGGUGGGUUGCCUUGUCAGGUUGAUUCCGGUAACGAACGAGACCUCAGCCUGCUAAAUAGUCACGUCCACCCCGGUGGAUGCCUGACUUCUUAGAGGGACUAUUGGCGUUUAGCCAAUGGAAGUGUGAGGCAAUAACA
rnacentral:rRNA from 1 species